UUAAGUUAAAUUUGUAUAUGGAGUUGGAACGUUUGCCUAUGUUUGCCGCUAGGCGCACUGUUCCAGGUGCAUACAAAUUUCAGCUA
rnacentral:pre_miRNA from 1 species